rnacentral:rRNA from 1 species
AUGCGAUCAUACCAGCACUAAAGCGCCGGAUCCCAUCAGAACUCCGAAGUUAAGCGUGCUUGGGCGAGAGUAGUACUAGGAUUGAUCCGGUGUUUUAGUGCUGGUAU